rnacentral:rRNA from 1 species
GGUCGUAAAACUCUGUUGUUAGGGAAGAACAAGUGCUAGUUGAAUAAGCUGGCACCUUGACGGUACCUAACCAGAAAGCCACGGCUAACUACGUGCCAGCAGCCGCGGUAAUACGUAGGUGGCAAGCGUUAUCCGGAAUUAUUGGGCGUAAAGCGCGCGCAGGUGGUUUCUUAAGUCUGAUGUGAAAGCCCACGGCUCAACCGUGGAGGGUCAUUGGAAACUGGGAGACUUGAGUGCAGAAGAGGAAAGUGGAAUUCCAUGUGUAGCGGUGAAAUGCGUAGAGAUAUGGAGGAACACCAGUGGCGAAGGCGACUUUCUGGUCUGUAACUGACACUGAGGCGCGAAAGCGUGGGGAGCAAACAGGAUUAGAUACCCUGGUAGUCCACGCCGUAAACGAUGAGUGCUAAGUGUUAGAGGGUUUCCGCCCUUUAGUGCUGAAGUUAACGCAUUAAGCACUCCGCCUGGGGGAG